GACGAACGCUGGCGGCGUGCUUAACACAUGCAAGUCGAACGGUAAGGCCCUUCGGGGUACACGAGUGGCGAACGGGUGAGUAACACGUGGGUGAUCUGCCCUGCACUUCGGGAUAAGCCUGGGAAACUGGGUCUAAUACCGGAUAGGACCACUGCCUGCAUGGGUGGUGGUGGAAAGCUUUUGCGGUGUGGGAUGGGCCCGCGGCCUAUCAGCUUGUUGGUGGGGUGAUGGCCUACCAAGGCGACGACGGGUAGCCGGCCUGAGAGGGUGACCGGCCACACUGGGACUGAGAUACGGCCCAGACUCCUACGGGAGGCAGCAGUGGGGAAUAUUGCACAAUGGGCGCAAGCCUGAUGCAGCGACGCCGCGUGAGGGAUGACGGCCUUCGGGUUGUAAACCUCUUUCAGCAUCGACGAAGCGAAAGUGACGGUAGGUGCAGAAGAAGGACCGGCCAACUACGUGCCAGCCGCCGCGGUAA
rnacentral:rRNA from 1 species